rnacentral:rRNA from 1 species
UACGUAGGGGGCUAGCGUUGUCCGGAAUUAUUGGGCGUAAAGCGCGUGUAGGCGGCCGUGCAAGUCGGGUGUGAAAGCCCUCGGCUCAACCGAGGAAGUGCAUCCGAAACUGGCGAGCUAGAGUACGAAAGAGGAUCGCGGAAUUCCCGGUGUAGAGGUGAAAUUCGUAGAUAUCGGGAGGAACACCGGUGGCGAAGGCGGCGAUCUGGGUCGAUACUGACGCUGAGGUGCGAAAGCGUGGGGAGCAAACAGG